rnacentral:rRNA from 1 species
AGGAGCUCGGGCGUGGUGCACGGGUGCGUACGCGUGGGAAUGUACACCUAGGUGCGGAAUAACGUAGAGAAAUUUACGCUAAUACCGCAUAAUGACUCCGGUCCAAAGAUUUAUCGCCUAGGGAUCAGCCCGCGUUAGAUUAGUUUGUUGGUGAGGUAACGGCUCACCAAGACUACGAUCUAUAGGGGGUCUUAGAGGAUGAUCCCCCACACUGGUACUGAGACACGGACCAGACUCCUACGGGAGGCAGCAGUGAGGAAUAUUGGACAAUGGGCGAAAGCCUGAUCCAGCCAUGCCGCGUGAGUGAAGACGGCCCUAGGGUUGUAAAGCUCUUUCAAACGUGAAGAUAAUGACGGUAGCGUUAGAAGAAGCUCCGGCUAAAUUCGUGCCAGCAGCCGCGGUAAUACGAAUGGAGCAAGCGUUGUUCGGAAUAACUGGGCUUAAAGCGUAUGUAGGCGGAUUAUCAAGUCAGGAGUGAAAUCCCGGGGCUCAACCUCGGAACUGCUCUUGAAACUGGUAGUCUAGAAUACUGGAGAGGUUGGGAGAAUUCCUAGUGUAGAGGUGAAAUUCGCAGAUAUUAGGAGGAAUACCAGUGGCGUAGGCGCCCAACUGGACAGUUAUUGACGCUCAGAUACGAAAGCGUGGGGAGC